rnacentral:rRNA from 1 species
CACGUAGGGUGCGAGCGUUGUCCGGAAUUAUUGGGCGUAAAGAGCUCGUAGGCGGUGUGUCGCGUCGGCCGUGAAAACCUGCAGCUUAACUGUGGGCGUGCGGUCGAUACGGGCAUCACUGGAGUUCGGCAGGGGAGACUGGAAUUCCUGGUGUAGCGGUGAAAUGCGCAGAUAUCAGGAGGAACACCGGUGGCGAAGGCGGGUCUCUGGGCCGAUAUUGACGCUGAGGAGCGAAAGCGUGGGGAGCGAACAGG